GUCGUGAAGAGGGAAACAACCCAGACCGCCAGCUAAGGUCCCAAAGUCAUGGUUAAGUGGGAAACGAUGUGGGAAGGCCCAGACAGCCAGGAUGUUGGCUUAGAAGCAGCCAUCAUUUAAAGAAAGCGUAAUAGCUCACUGGUCGAGUCGGCCUGCGCGGAAGAUGUAACGGGGCUAAACCAUGCACCGAAGCUGCGGCAGCGACACUGUGUGUUGUUGGGUAGGGGAGCGUUCUGUAAGCCUGUGAAGGUGUGUCGUGAGGCAUGCUGGAGGUAUCAGAAGUGCGAAUGCUGACAUAAGUAACGAUAAAGCGGGUGAAAAGCCCGCUCGCCGGAAGACCAAGGGUUCCUGUCCAACGUUAAUCGGGGCAGGGUGAGUCGACCCCUAAGGCGAGGCCGAAAGGCGUAGUCGAUGGGAAACGGGUUAAUAUUCCCGUACUUGGUGUUACUGCGAAGGGGGGACGGAGAAGGCUAUGUUGGCCGGGCGACGGUUGUCCCGGUUUAAGCGUGUAGGUGUGUGUUCCAGGUAAAUCCGGUUCACUUUAACACUGAGGCGUGACGACGAGGCACUACGGUGCUGAAGCAACAAAUGCCCUGCUUCCAGGAAAAGCCUCUAAGCAUCAGGUAACAUCAAAUCGUACCCCAAACCGACACAGGUGGUCAGGUAGAGAAUACCAAGGCGCUUGAGAGAACUCGGGUGAAGGAACUAGGCAAAAUGGUGCCGUAACUUCGGGAGAAGGCACGCUGACACGUAGGUGAAGUGAUUUACUCAUGGAGCUGAAGUCAGUCGAAGAUACCAGCUGGCUGCAACUGUUUAUUAAAAACACAGCACUGUGCAAACACGAAAGUGGACGUAUACGGUGUGACGCCUGCCCGGUGCCGGAAGGUUAAUUGAUGGGGUCAGCGCAAGCGAAGCUCCUGAUCGAAGCCCCGGUAAACGGCGGCCGUAACUAUAACGGUCCUAAGGUAGCGAAAUUCCUUGUCGGGUAAGUUCCGACCUGCACGAAUGGCGUAAUGAUGGCCAGGCUGUCUCCACCCGAGACUCAGUGAAAUUGAACUCGCUGUGAAGAUGCAGUGUACCCGCGGCAAGACGGAAAGACCCCGUGAACCUUUACUAUAGCUUGACACUGAACAUUGAGCCUUGAUGUGUAGGAUAGGUGGGAGGCUUUGAAGUGUGGACGCCAGUCUGCAUGGAGCCGACCUUGAAAUACCACCCUUUAAUGUUUGAUGUUCUAACGUGGACCCGUUACCCGGGUUGCGGACAGUGUCUGGUGGGUAGUUUGACUGGGGCGGUCUCCUCCUAAAGAGUAACGGAGGAGCACGAAGGUUGGCUAAUCCUGGUCGGACAUCAGGAGGUUAGUGCAAUGGCAUAAGCCAGCUUGACUGCGAGCGUGACGGCGCGAGCAGGUGCGAAAGCAGGUCAUAGUGAUCCGGUGGUUCUGAAUGGAAGGGCCAUCGCUCAACGGAUAAAAGGUACUCCGGGGAUAACAGGCUGAUACCGCCCAAGAGUUCAUAUCGACGGCGGUGUUUGGCACCUCGAUGUCGGCUCAUCACAUCCUGGGGCUGAAGUAGGUCCCAAGGGUAUGGCUGUUCGCCAUUUAAAGUGGUACGCGAGCUGGGUUUAGAACGUCGUGAGACAGUUCGGUCCCUAUCUGCCGUGGGCGCUGGAGAACUGAGGGGGGCUGCUCCUAGUACGAGAGGACCGGAGUGGACGCAUCACUGGUGUUCGGGUUGUCAUGCCAAUGGCACUGCCCGGUAGCUAAAUGCGGAAGAGAUAAGUGCUGAAAGCAUCUAAGCACGAAACUUGCCCCGAGAUGAGUUCUCCCUGAGACUUAGAGUCUCCUGAAGGAACGUUGAAGACGACGACGUUGAUAGGCCGGGUGUGUAAGCGCAGCGAUGCGUUGAGCUAACCGGUACUAAUGAACCGUGAGGCUUAACCUU
rnacentral:rRNA from 1 species